rnacentral:rRNA from 1 species
CGAAGCAACGCGAAGAACCUUACCGAGGUCUUGACAUCCCCUGACAACCCGAGAGAUCGGGCGUUCCCCUUCGGGGGACAGGGUGACAGGUGGUGCAUGGUUGUCGUCAGCUCGUGUCGUGAGAUGUUGGGUUAAGUCCCGCAACGAGCGCAACCCUCGACCUUAGUUGCCAGCAUUCAGUUGGGCAACUCUAAGGUGACUGCCGGCUAAAAGUCGGAGGAAGUGGGGAUGACGUCAAAUCAUCAUGCCCCUUAUGACCUGGGCUACACACGUGCUACAAUGGGCGGUACAAAGGGUCGCGAAGCUGUGAAGUGGAGCCAAUCCCAAAAAGUAGGUCUCAGUUCGGAUUGUAGGCUGCAACUCGCCUACAUGAAGUCGGAAUCGCUAGUAAUCGCGGAUCAGCAUGCCGCGGUGAAUACGUUCCCGGGCCUU